CUAUCUGGUAGCGCCUUUAGAAAUCGCCGCUAAAUAGGCGAGAUUUGUCAUUGGAUUCCGUGUUAUCAAUUUACAAUUAAUAAUUUAUUGUUGAGUUAUAAAAACUUAUUUUUUUAUAUUUAGUGAUUCAGAGCAUCUACGCGGAACGCUUAAAAUGCUUCAAAACGUGAUUGACUUCUGCAAUUACUGGUGGUUCCGAUAUCUUAUGGUCACAGAGCUAUAUAUGGUCGAAAAAUGGGAACGAGUUACAAUUCAUGUGAUUUUUGCAAUACUCUUUUGCCUGUUUUGGUACUUUAACUAUUCAGUGCUUUUAUCGUUUACGGGUAGUGUACUAGGUAUCACUCCUAUCUCCAGCGUUGUGGACCAACACGGUAGCAAAAUUGUGUAACUAUAGCAAUUCCAUGAUUGGAGGCAACUGCUGGCAAUCACUGACGGAAAAAUAGCGCAUAUACAUACAUACCUAGGCACAGAAAAAUAAUUUAACUCGUAGUCAAGAAAUCACUUCUUUAUCAGAAUACUGCAUUCAAAAGGUUCGACAUAUAACGAAUGAGAAUCCCGUAUCCUACCAGUGACGCCAAGCCAGUAGGCCGCUUUCAUUGUCAUAGAAAGGGA